UGCUUAUUUGCUUAUACAAGAUUAUAAGAGCUAUACAGCAUAUGAAUAACUGUGGGAAUAGAAUAGAAUAGAAUAGAAUAGAAUAGAACAGAAUAGAAAAGAAUAGUUUUCAGGAGGCAUCCUUUUAAAGUAGGGUGAGUUCAGAAAAGGGCAUCAGGUAAAAUGGGAGAUGCCAGAUUUCUAGAUAUAACAGUGGAACAUUUUUAAUUAUUAAUUAAAAACGUGUAAAUAAUGUGACUGUCAAUAUGGUCAUUGGGACUAAAAUUGUAUUACUAUGGUUUUACGCAACUAUAUUCCUUAGAGGACCAUGUACUGUAAAUACCAAGGUUCACGAAUACAAGUACCAUGCGAUACAUCUGGUAUACUAAAUGCUGCCAUCAUGUAACAUGGUACCGUCACGCAACAACGGACACCUCAAAAGUAACUCGUUACAGUCACUUCACAAGAAAUAUCGCAAACGAGCUGUGAGAAUGACACCGUGUGUAUGCGUGCGUGCGUGCUGCGUGUGUGUAGUGUAGUGUAAUCCAUAUCUCUGCUAGUAGUAUCUCUGGGUUACUGACGUGUGUGCCCGCGCUCUUAUAUCUGUGCGCUCUCGCUUUACGCGCAGUUUGAUGGCGUCGCCGCGCUCUCCUCUCUGUGUUCUUCGACCAUCGCUUACAAUCUGACGAUUUAUGGACGGCGAGGACCAGAUAUUAUGAUAGCACAUUGUCUGGGUUGGUUCUACAACAUCUUCGCCAAAGUGUUCUGUGGAAACUGUCACUGCUUGAGCUCCGAGCCGUGCCGUGAGAGAUAAAAGAGAAGAAGUUUGCCGGAUACAGGUGCGAUCUCUCUCUAACUCCAGCUGAUGAUCACAGACACGGAUCUGGACUGCCGGAUUCCAGUAGAUCAUAUCAGGUCUAGCGCAAGCAAAACACCUCAAUCGCUUAAUCGGAGACAUUCUUGUCUUCCCCUGCACCAGAGACAACACAGUGCCGGACUGAUGACAGCUCACUCAGGGCAGGUCUAAGGUAAGAUGGCCUUGUCAAUCAACUAUCAUGGGAGGGGCCUGUGCAGAACUACGUCAUUCUGCCAGGAAUCUCAGAACAGCCUGAUUUGAUAAAGGAGAUUUUAAAAUAGGGAUUUAAAAAAAAAAACACUGGGUGGAUUUUUAUCAUUGUAGGAUGGAUGUUUACACACACUUCCGAAACAGAUUUAUGUUCAAACAACAACAAAAGUGAAUUUUGCAUCCGAUGACCCCUUUAAGACUCGUCCCUGAGCAACUGUGUGAACGAUAAUACACUUAAAAUUGAACAUUCUUUGACUUCUCUUUAAUCUAGUUGCUUCAUAAUAAUGUACUCCCUCUCUUGUUUCAUUGUCCUGGGUCAGGGUUUCAGCUUUUCCUGUUUUUAUGAGACAAAAAAAACAUGAAACAAUAAAUCAUAUCUACAGUGCA
ensembl:lncRNA